rnacentral:rRNA from 1 species
GAUGAAUGCUGGCGGCGUGCCUAACACAUGCAAGUCGAGCGGUAACAGGUCUAGUUUACUAGAUGCUGACGAGCGGCGGACGGCUGAGUAACGCGUGGGAACGUGCCCCAAAGUGAGGAAUAACUGCCCGAAAGGGUAGCUAAUGCCGCAUAUGAUCUUCGGAUUAAAGGAUUUAUCCGCUUUGGGAGCGGCCCGCGUUAGAUUAGGUAGUUGGUGAGGUAAUAGCUCACCAAGCCUACGAUCUAUAGCUGGUCUGAGAGGAUGAUCAGCCAGACUGGGACUGAGACACGGCCCAG